rnacentral:rRNA from 1 species
CUACGGGUUGCUCCAGUCGAGAAUCUUCCGCAAUGCGCGAAAGCGUGACGGAGCAAUGCCGCGUGGUGGAUGAAGGCCUUCGGGUUGUAAACACCUGUCACAUGGGACGAACUUUGACGGUACCAUGAGAGGAAGCCACGGCUAACUACGUGCCAGCAGCCGCGGUAAUACGUAGGUGGCGAGCGUUGUUCGGAUUUAUUGGGCGUAAAGGGUCCGCAGGGGGUUUGUUAAGUCUGAUGUGAAAUCCCGGGGCUCAACCCCGGAACUGCAUUGGGGACUGAUGAACUAGAGUAUCGGAGAGGUAAAUGGAAUUCCUGGUGUAGCGGUGGAAUGCGUAGAUAUCAGGAAGAACACCGAGAGCGAAGGCAAUUUACUGGACGAUUACUGACCCUCAGGGACGAAAGCGUGGGUAGCGAACAGGAUUAGAUACCCUCGUAGUC